rnacentral:rRNA from 1 species
AGUGAACGCUGGCGGUAGGCCUAACACAUGCAAGUCGAACGGCAGCACAGUAAGAGCUUGCUCUUACGGGUGGCGAGUGGCGGACGGGUGAGGAAUACAUCGGAAUCUACUUUUUCGUGGGGGAUAACGUAGGGAAAUGUACGCUAAUACCGCAUACGACCUACGGGUGAAAGCAGGGGAUGUUCGGACCUUGCGCGAUUGAAUGAGCCGAUGUCGGAUUAGCUAGUUGGCGGGGUAAAGGCCCACCAAGGCGACGAUCCGUAGCUGGUCUGAGAGGAUGAUCAGCCACACUGUAACUGAGACACGUUCCAGACUCCUACGCGAGGCAGCAGUGCGGACUAUUGGACAAUGGGCCCAAGCCUGAUCCAGCCAUACCGCGUGGGUGAAGAAGGCCUUCGGGUUGUAAAGCCCUUUUGUUGGGAAAGAAAAGCAGCACGUUAAUACCCCGCUGUUCUGACGGUACCCAAAGAAUAAGCACCGGCUAACUUCGUG